AGAGUUGAUCAUGGCUCAGGACGAACGCUGGCGGCGUGCUUAACACAUGCAAGUCGAACGGAGCUUAAGGAAGAGCUUGCUCUGAGAUAAGCUUAGUGGCGGACGGGUGAGUAACGCGUGAGGAACCUGGUUUACACAGGGGGAUAACGGCCCGAAAGGGUUGCUAAUACCGCAUAAGACCACAACACCGCAUGAUGAAGGGGUCAAAGGAGAAAUCCGGUGUAAAAUGGACUCGCGUCCCAUUAGGCAGUUGGUGAGGUAACGGCCCACCAAACCGACGAUGGGUAGCCGACCUGAGAGGGUGAUCGGCCACAUUGGAACUGAGAGACGGUCCAAACUCCUACGGGAGGCAGCAGUGGGGAAUAUUGGGCAAUGGGCGCAAACGCCUGACCCAGCAACGCCGCGUGAGGGAAGUAAGGUUUUCGGAUUGUAAACCUCUGUCCUUGAUAGAAAAGCAGGAGAUGGUAAUUAAGGAGGACGGCCCCGGCUAACUACGUGCCAGCCGCCGC
rnacentral:rRNA from 1 species